ACAGUGAGAAGGUGACCGUCUGUAACCCAAAGAGAUCCUUCACCAGACACCAACACUGUUGGCACCUUGAUUUUGGGUAUCCAGUCUCCAGAACUGUGCUGUAAGGAAACUGCCUACGGCUCCUUUCCCAGGAUAAUAAGAAGUGCCUUUUGCCUCCGCCAUGAUUCUGACCCCCUCCCCGCCCAGCCAUGGGGAACUGUAAGUACAAUUAAACCUCUUUUUCUUCCUUUUUCCUUUUCUUUCUUCUCUUUUUCUUUUUCGUGUUCAUGCUUUUUAUCAGCAGCAUGAACACGAAAUAAUCUAGAUAAGAAGAACUCUGUUUCAGUGCAUGACAUGUAUUUGAUUUAAAGAAAUCAAGGGAACUUUGGUUUCUAUGGCAGUUGGAGACUUUUAGGCCACUUACUAUUAUUGUCUCAAUUUUAGCUUUUGCAUGUCUUACCAAUUCCAGCAAUAAAACCAAGCAUGUGAAAUAGGAAUUUUAUCUGAUUUAGCUUGAGUCUCAAUUCAUUUUCUUCUAACUCUCAACUCAGGUUACUCACUGAAGAGAACAUUUUUGACUGUAUUGAUUGGUCUCCUUUUAGAUGCUGUUAUUGAAUAUAUUCAUUUAAACCUUGUCUUUAGAAACAACGGAAUCCAUAGCAUGCUCAGUUUCUUUGCUUGCUCGCAGUAGUGAAAUAGUUAGAAAAUUUUUCUGUCUAUCUGAUAAAGAUUAUGUAAACACUUUGAAGUUUACAAUAAGCUUUGCAAUCCAUUUUUUAAUCCUUACAGCAAAACCAUACAGCAGGCUUAGCCUGAG
rnacentral:lncRNA from 1 species